rnacentral:lncRNA from 1 species
GUCAAUCCUGUGGCUUCUACGUACAAAGACCUCCCCAAAAGUCAUUCAAAAAGAUCUUUUCUUUUUAUUUCCUUGAUAUUUCUGUGGUGAAAGAACAAAGGUCUUUGAUAGUUAAGACCCGCAUCUCAUAUGAAAAGACUUUCUUUUCCUUUAAAAAGAGAGGAGUUAAGGCGAUGGGAUCCCCCCUAUUUUCUCUUCUUCCUAGAGCUUAUGAGCUGUAUAGGAAGACACUUAAUUUCAAUUUGAAUGCAAAGAGUCUUAUUUAAAAUAAAAUAAAAAUCUGCAACGAUACCUUUGGAGUUUCGUUUUACUAAAACAAAGUUUAGUGGAGUUUAAUUAAAGUUAAAGCUAUCGGAGAACAAAUUUGAUCUCCAUUGGUCUCGAAUCGAUGAAUUUGACACUUCCCAAGAGUCUUGUUUGACUCAUUGAGUCAAUCGCAAUUAAUUGCUUCAAUUUUAAAUUUUCCUUUUGUCAAAUUUGGAUGAACGUAUGAAAAGAUUUAAGAGCUUAUGAAUUUUGGAACCAAACAAUUUACACCUUUGGAUCUUGCAGGAUUUUAUUUUGCCUCCUUGGCUGCCCCGCCAUGUGUUUAUUAAAUGUCGUCCUUAUCAAAUACAAAUUGGUUCAUUUAGUCCACAUCGUACCCAUCGAAAUCUGAACGUCUUGGUGGUGUUGGAGCAUUCGCAUCGAUCGUGCACUCCCCGGCAAUUUUGAGGAGGUCAGCUCGUCAAUCACCUGGAAUGACCAUGGCCAUGGGCAUGGGUUAGGGUUUUGGAGGCGUGUGAGCAAAGAGCAGUGACAACGAGGGGAAAAUCAAGGAUUUGGAGCAAAGGAAGAAACGUGUGAAAAGGUCAAGGAACGAUGGGGAAGAAGUUGUCGUGGGGGUUUAAACGAAGUUUACGUAGAAGAGAAACUAAAUAAAAGGAAAGAUAAAAUUCUAAACCUGGCCAUGUUGAAUACUCUCGUCUCUUCAUCCAAGAAAAGAGAGACCCAUCAUAUGCUUUCUUCUCCCGAAAAGGAGUAAGAUCAGAUGUGAAAUGCUAAAAUCAAGGUGGACGAAUGUGAGUCUUAAGCGCGAAGCGAAAAAGGAUAAAAAGCAAAGCAAUAAUUUGUAUUCCAUCCCACUUUUCCUUUGAAGUUUGAAGUGUAGCUAGUUUCUUUUGCAAGAAAGACCACGAAGUGAAUUAUCUCACUUAUUCACUUCUCAGACCCUAAAAGUUGCUAAGUUCAGUUUUCUUUCAAAAGCUUAAACUUUGACUCUAGAAUUGCAAAGUUGAGAUUUUUAAGUUCGUCACUGUCUGAGCAAGACGCCAAUUCAUCUCAUAACAUACUUUGAUGGGACAUAUUUUUGGUUACCAUAUAAGUUUGGGAUUUUGAUGAUAAACGUACACUUUGGAUAAUUGGUAAUAUGGUAAAUAUAAAGGUCAUGAUUUUUUAUGGAAUCGCACACUCAAUGUUGUCGAAUUUGCUGCCCACCCAUUGCCAUCACUAGCCCUCAACUUCAUGCAUCGAAUAGCUUAUAUACUACUUUUAGCCCAUGGUAAACAUUUUUAUGGAUCGAAUAGCUUUACGUGAUUCAAACAUUGGAAAUUACAGAAACCAAUUUCCCAAAUAUGAUUUUUUUUUAAUCAAACUUUAGAAGGAAGAUCAUGAGGGGCAAUUCCAUUUUUUUUUUUCAUUUUUUGAGAAAAGUACUACCCUCCGGAACAAAAUUGUAUGAGUGUCUACACGACAACGUUGUUGAUGAAUCCAAACCAAAAAAAGAAGACAUUGAUAAAUGUCAGAUUUGUUUGCCAACAAACCAUAUAAUUGAUGCCAAUAAAGAGAUCCAAAGUGAACAAUCAUAUCCCUUCAUAUAAUUGAUGCCAAACUCAUUGAUUUUCCAAGACUUGGACAUAGUAUUGAUGAAAAGAAUCUUUAAUACCGCCGCCCUAAAAAUAGAAGCACUCCCAACAAGUAAACCGAGUGAUUGAAUCCCAUUAUCUGACGAAAUCAACUCAAUGAUGUAAGUUUAACAAUUACUCUCAUGAUGCAGAAAAGGAAUCGGAUCUAGUCGUGCAAAGAGGUAGCAGCACGACCACAACAUCAGUAAUAAUUAGGGUACUGAUACAUCAAUGAGGUCUACCCUUACCGGGUCUUUACUAAACUUUUUUUUUCCUUUUUACAGAUAAAGUAUGAAUUAGAUAGUAAAUCUCUCAAUAAUAAAUAGAUAAUAGGAAAUACGAUUCUCCAAUUUCUUUUUGAAUUCACAUAUGGCAUUUUUGUGUUAUUUUUUUUCAGUUACUAAUUCAAUUCUACUACCUUUUUAUAUUAUCGCAGAAGUUUUAUCACAUAAUUUGUUUUACCGUUGUAUCAUUUACAUGAAGAUUCAAAAUACGAUCUAACUAAAUGGAAUAAAUCAAAUCUCACUAAAUCCAAAUGUUAAACAGAAAAUGGAAUAGCCAGAUUAGAAUCUGACUUGACAUUCUAGAAAAACAGGAAUUCUUUCUAAUUAUUUUUUAACUACUAACUAAAACGUGUAAUGUAUUUCUAGCUGAUAUCUCCUUCUGUUUUCCUUUCUUGCCGACUAGCUCUAUACGUAAGGACCGGGUCGUGAUGGUCUGAAUGCUUCGCCGGGGAGUCUCGACUAAAAGCAGCCUCCCUUCGGCCGGGAUUCUCUUGCUUUUUAACCUUUUGCUUUUCACGCUAAAUCUUUGCUGAAGAUAUGGUCAUUCAUCAUGAGGGUGUGCUGCAAUUUCUCCGCUGCCGUGUCCUUCUUGACCACGUUCUUCUCCUCAUCAGAGCAAUCCACCGAAGCCCACCGAGAAUUCCACUUGCGCUAUUCUUUUAUUUUUUGUCUUUUUUUAAACUUUAUCUGCUUUCGGUUACUCAUGGCCCGGCCAUGUCCCCUCGUCCUUAUCUUGGUGUUCAGUUAGUCAACACGUUUCCACCGUAUCGUGUCCCACCAGAUUUUGCUCUCCAUUUUUGCAGAAUUUCAGCUCUCCCUUCCUGUUCCUUCGUGUGUUUUCACACUGCUAUUUCCCUUCCUUCGCACUCGCAUGAAUGCCGUAUCGAAAGUGGCCUCAAGUCAACCAUUUCGGUUCACAAAAAUUCGCAAUUUUAUUGGAAAGGGUCUGUAAUUUUAAAUGCGAAAGAAUGCAAUAGAGAUCAAGAAUGCAUGAUUACAAAUGUUUUUUUUUUAGUAAGGGGUCAAAUUAUCAAUGAUUUUUUUUUUUUUUGGUAACCAAGGAUCCGCCGGGCCUGCCAAGCAGCCCAUGGCCUGUAGAGUGCGUGAUGCACCUAGGACCAAGUGUCAAUACUUCAUGGACUGGCUUAGUAAUCCACUCUUGAGACCCCCACUUAAGUCAUGUUAGCAACGGGAGGGCUCGAAUUCUCGACCUCGGCAAUGGAUGAGAGAAUGCACAUCAACUGAGCUAUCCAUGUGUGGGUAAUUAUCAAUGAAUUUGAUUGCUGAAUUUCAUGAGAAUGCAGAUAGGACCUUUAGGCGAAAAUCUGUGUCAACAAUAAUUUUCCUCAAGUUAAUUAAUGGAGACCGAAACAUCACUGGAUUAGAAGGGCAAAGUCAAAGUCUACAAAGACUUGGACUACCAACCGUCCAUGGUGACCCAACUUUGCUCUGAGAAGGAUUCACAUCCAUGAAUGAGCCAAGUCUCUGAAGACUUGGACGACCAAAGGCACACGCUAAGGCAUUGGCGGGUCUUCUUUUCCACAUUAGGAAUUUUUUUUUUUUGACAAAUUCCACAUUAGGAUUAACCCAUCUUCUUUUUCUUUGCUUUUAUUGCUUUAUUUCUUUUCAUUAUCACUCUGCUUUUUUGACGAGAUUUUCCUUGGAUUCUCGCCGUGAAUGAUGGUUGUGGUACCGGUGGGUCAAUUACCUUGAUAGUUGAUUGAUAGGCGGCCACCAUUUGAUCAAUAAUUCUUUUUCUUUUCUUUUUUUCGCACAACAGCACUACUCUUUGAGGAUACAUAUGAGUUGGGGCUUCUAUAAGAGGGCAAGAGCCUCAACCCUGAACGCAGAAGGCGCCGCUUACUGCUCGCACCACUCCGUCCACCAACCUCCCGGCGGAAUCACGACGGACGCAAGUGAUCGAGCCUCCAGUAGGUCCAGGUUCGUAGGCACCGUCUAUGUUUAUCUUUAGUGUUCCAGCCUACGGUGGGUUCCAAAAUCGUGACGAUCCGUCGCUGGUCUUACUAGAUUCGCUCGAUUUUGGGUUCCAUCUGUUGAAACUCUUCAACUAAAGCAAACUCCACAAGGUUGCUUGGUUUUGGUUUUCUAUUCUUGAAGAUGGCCUGGUUUCUUGACUUCCAAAUAUUCCACAGUACUUUAGUAAUCGUCUGAUUCGAGACUUGGCUUCUUGCAUCCUGAUCUUGAGCUCUCUAGCUCUCAUCUCUGCUAUUCUUCCAUUCACCAGUGUAAAAUAUUCGUAAAUUACCAAGAUUAUCUAAAUUUUACCGACAUUCCAAUGAAGUAGUAAAUUAACUCACUUGAAAAUUUUCAUCAUUGUUGUAAGUAAAGUACCGACAUCUUUAGAAAUUUACCAACAUGCCAAUAAAGUAGUAAAUUACUGACUCCUACAAAAUUUUACGAGUGUGGUAAGUAUAUUACCGACACAGUCUAAGAAUUUACAAACACUACAUGGAAGUAUUAAAUUACCCACUCUCAAAUUUUACCAGUGUUAAUAAAUUACUAGCAAUAUCAAGAAUUCACUGACAUAAGAGUCAAGUGGUUAACUACCAACUCUUAUUACCAAAAUCAUAAAUAAAUUACUGGCACAUACAAGAAUUUAACAACAUUUUAAUGAAUUAAUAUAUUACCAACUCCUCUGAAAUUUACUUACCAGCACUAUAAAAAAAAUAUACCAAUAUAUUAAUGAAGGAGUUAACCCACUCCAAAGAAAUUUUAUCCAUGUGGUCAGUAGAUUGCCAACUCUUAUCAUCCAUUGAUUCUACACUUUAUCUUAAGAUGAAAUUGAAAGCAACAGGAUCCUUGAAUCACUUGAGGUGAUCAAAUCAUAAAGGUGGAGUCAUGGAGGCUAGAUUUAAACUACUUAAACUCAUACCCUUGUUCAAAUCCGAUUCAAACGUCGAGCUAUACUUGAAGUAGUGGCUACAAUAUUGGCUUAAUUUUUAUUUUAACACAUCAAAUGAAUAGCAGUGUAUCGGUAUUUUACCUUCAACUCGGAAUUCCUAUAGACUAACGGUCUCACCAUGUCCUUGGCAGAAAAAAUUUUGACACUCUUAGUAUAUUGGAAAGUGGAGGGGCACAUCUCUAGAACCAAUACAAAACAAAACUAACUUUCGAGCUUAGAUAUGGGUGGACUCUUUUCCUUUUGUUCUUUCUCAUAAUCGUAGUCUAUGAAGUUGGAGCCCAAUGCUAAUACAAGAAUCAUUCAAUGUGGAUAUCUUUAUUUUUUAGAUUCCUGACAAUGUGGCAUGUGCCUAUCCUAAUUUUAUAGAGUAAUUAUAGGGGAAGCUAAUACUCUAUGUCCAUUCUUCCCUAAAUAGAGCAAACUCUCAACCACCAUAAUUAGAUUAUUAAACAAACAAAUUAUAUCGGAAGUAUCAAUGAAGUUGCUGUUGAACCUUAUAUAAUGCAUUGGAUGUUGAAUAACAGAGAACCAUAUUAUUAUUUGGUUGUACAUUAUAUAAGUUCCAAACCUUAUAUUUUGUUAACUUUGUCAAUUGGUUGUACAUUAUAUAAGUUCCAAACCUUAUAUUUUGUUAACUUUGUCAAUGUCCGAUCAUGUUGCAAUAUCAUUUCGAAAUAGUACCACUAUGUCGUCUCGUGUGGCAUAUUUAGUCAUCUCGGAGCUUCUAAUUGGUGUCUCACAGUCAAGUAUAUUAACAAGUACAACGCUCCAUCAAUACAAAUAAUUAUCAAUAUCACUAGUAAACAAAUGCACACAAUCAUCCGGCACACAUAUAGUAGCAUAAAAUAUGUUUGUAUGUUACUCACAAAUAGAUGCAGAAACGAUGUUAAUAAUCUACUAAAAAUUUAGGGAAAUGAUUUUUUUUUUUUGAGGAAGUUACAAAUAUUAACUGGUGUCACUAGUAAAACAUAUGUAAGGAACUCGUAAUCAACUAGAGGAAAAACACAAAAAUGACUAUUCUUAAUAUUUCAAGCAAGUAAAUCAAUUGUUUCGUUUGCAUGUUACUAACAAUAAAAUUGCAACUCAUAAAAUUGAAACAAGGUUAAUAAUAUAGUAAGGAUUUAUACUUGUAAAAUAGUUAUUUUUUUGUAAUUUACUACCGUCCACCAAGACUACUAACAAAGUAUGCAAGCAACUCAUAGUUUACUACCAAAAAUCCUCGCCCACUUAUAAAAGCAAACAAUUGCUCGUAAGGUACAGGAGUAUUUUCCAUAUGGUAAAUCGAUUAUUCCGUUUACGUAGUAUUUACAGAUGAACACUGCUACUCAUAAAUUCGAAACAGUGUUAACACUAUAGUUGGAUUUAGAGGGGUAAAAUACUAUUUUGUUUGUAAGUUGGAACAUCAAUCGGGACUAUUAAUAAAAUAUAUAAGCAUUUAUAAUCAACGAGUGAAAAUUGCUAACCCAUUUGCAAAAUCUAAAAGAAAAAAAAUGGUAAUCUACUAUUUGGUUUGAGGAUGAAAAAACUUCUUCUUCUUUUUUAAUAACUUUCUAACAAUAGAUCAGACUCACAAGUUAUCAGUUAAUUUUUACUUACAAGUGGUACUUCAAGUUUAUAAUUUGUUCUUUAAAUCUAGCAUGCAUGAAUCAAAACUUCAUUUUUGGUUUACGGAAUUUUAGAACGUGUAAGAUUUCAACUACAACUAUCUCAUCUCAUGAAUAGCUUUGGUUAAUUUUUUGAUCCAUUUUAGAGAGAGCAGCGGUCAUAUUUGCCAAAGUGACAUUAAGAAGAAACAAUUGAUGUUGUAGAAAUUUGAGCAGUGUGGAACUCUUCUUUUUAAAAAGAAUGCUCCGCGUUGUGUUAUGUCAAAUGAGGACAUGUUAAUGUUCUCCCUUUGAGAUUUAAAACUCAUGGGGAAUAAUUAUGUUCUCAAGAUUUGAGAAGAGUGAACCGUUUUUUUCUUUAAAAAAAAAAAAUGAAAACUCAGCACUCUUCUAUGUUAAUGUUCUCCUUAGGAGAUUAAAUUCCCUUAAGAUGUUAAAACUCCCCUUGAGAUUUAAUACUCCUAUGUUCACGUGCAUUGUCGACUUAGGCAAGCUGGAGUGAUGUUGCAAUAGCUAAUCCAGGCUACUAAGUUUAGUGACCUACAUAGAUUUCCAUUUGUGAGUCGGGCUUCUAUACAUUUUCCAUCUCUAGCUCCCACUACUUUUGCUGAUAUAAUGUUUGGUAUUUCUUGAAGAUCAAAUUGAGUGAAAUCAAUGGAGGGGAGUGUAGAAACACAACAUACCUGGCAAAAUGAUGGAAUAGCAGGGAGCGCUUCUUUUACUCACACUACAACAGAAGGCCAGGGAAUGGUCAAUUCAUCAAGACACGAAUACGAAGUAUUCUUGAGUUUUAGAGGAAAAGAUACUCGAAUAAGUUUUACCAGCUUCCUUCAUACUAGUAUGAUGAAUGCAGGAAUCCGCGUCUAUAAGGAUGAUAGAGAAGUCCCCAAGGGGAAAAAAUUUGGCCCGGAACUUCUCCAAGCAAUUAAUCAAUCGAAGAUCUCAAUACCUAUAUUUUCAAAAGGUUAUGCCUUUAGCGUAUGGUGUCUCAAUGAGCUAGUCCAGAUGGUCGAGUGCCAAAAAACUAGGGGACAAAUGAUUAUGCCAAUUUUUUAUGAUGUGGCACCUUCAGAGGUUCGACACCAAACCGGGGGUUAUGGAAAGGCCUUUCUUUCACAUGAACAGAAAAAACGAUAUGAUGAAGAGACUAUGCGUCAGUGGAAGGCUGCUCUCAGUGCAGUUGGGGCAAUACAUGGGUGGGACUUGCACAACAUGCCCAACAGGUGACUACCUCUAUCAUUCCAUUUGAUGUGCCUAGUACCAUUAAAACUUUUAAUGUGGUUCAAAAUUGGUUUCUUUUCUAGAUUUGUGUGAUCCUCGUUGAAAUUUAAUUUUAUGCUAUUGAAAUUAUACUACAAAAAUCACAUAAAAUAAUGGUACAAUCCCAAUUUUUUCCCUUUUCAUUCCAAACAAUUUUUUUUUUUCAAUUUAGGUCAUUCAUUAAUCAUAUGUGCCAAUGCUAAUUCAUCUACAAUGGAGUAAAUCCUUACAAAAUGCAUUUCGAAUAGGUCUCUAGUUUUUACUUUGUUCUUGUCAGAAUAUAGUUUGGUUCAACACAAUUUUCUAACUCAUUGCCAUUUGACCUCCAACAAACACUAGGGAAGAAGGUGAGAUCACAAAUACAGUAACCCAAAAGGUUUUCAAUGAGUUGAAGAAGGCUUAUCUGGUGGUAUCAGAUUACUUGGUCAAUGUCGACAACCAUGUGGGUGCAAUCAUGGAAAUGAUAGGUGCUCAAACAAGUGAAACACGCAUCAUAGGAAUCUAUGGGAUGGGUGGUAUUGGAAAGACGACUAUUGCCAAAAUCAUCUACAAUCAACUUUCACAUGGAUUUGAGAAUUGUUGCUUUCUUCCCGAUAUCCAAGAAAUGUCAAAAGGUAACCGCAUUCCAUCCUUGCAGAAUCAGCUCAUCAACGACAUCCUAAAAAAAAAAUGGACAGACAUAAAAAACAUUGACGAUGGGAUUCAGGCAAUUAAAAAUAGGUUGUCUAAUAAGAGAGUUCUCCUUCUUCUUGAUGAUGUGGAAAAAGUUGAUCAUAUGCGUGCACUUGUAGGUAAGGGGAGUAAACUCAUAAUUACUACGAGAAACCAAGAUGUUCUCAUUGUUCCUGAAGACUCCACUUAUGAGGUUAAUGGUAUGGAUGAUUAUCAAUCUCUUCAACUUUUUAGCAAACAGGCCUUCAGAAGAGAUUCUCCUAUAGACGAAUAUAUCGACCUAUCCAAGAGGGCAGUACACAUUGCUGGAGGUCUUCCAUUAGCCCUUGAGGUCAUAGGUUCACUUUUAUCCGGCAAAAAUAAGGAAUGUGGGAUGCCACAUUGAAGAAGCUAGAAAGUGUUCCUCAUGAUAAAGUUCAGAGUAAGCUGAAAAUAAGUUAUGAUGCAUUAAAUAAUCGGCAGCGGCAUAUAUUCCUUGAUAUUGCUUGUCUAUUCAUUGGAUGUCUCAAAGACAUUGUGUUUUAUUUCUGGGAUGCAUCUAAACUUUUUCCGGAAGUAGACGUUGAAGUUUUGCAGAACAUGUCUUUAAUAAAGAUUGGAGAAGAUAAUAUAUUGUGGAUGCAUGAUCAACUCAGAGACCUUGGAAGAGAAAUAGUUCGUGAAGAAAGUGAGAUGAAUAUAGAGGAGCAACGUUGCGUGUGGAAUCCGGAGGAUGGAUUAAAUCUGCUAAGGAUACAUGAGGUAAAAUGCUUUGUGCAAUAGAUCUCCAAAUUAUUUAUAGACAUUUUCUUUUCCAAAAAAAGUAGUUACUUUUUGUGUUCUGUAGCACCAUCGCGACCUACUCAACCGAUAGUUUUGGUCUUUUAAGAUUUUAAAGGAAUGAUAAUAGUCAACUCCAACCCUUAAAAUAGUGAACUUGAAGAAAUGUGUUUCCUUUCAACUUUUUUGUUUAAAAUUUUUUCCUUUGGGCAGGAAAAGAAAAAAGUUGAAGCUCUUCGUCUCAAGUUUGAUGAUCAGCACCGUUUUACCUAUGACGACUUUAAGAGCCUGCCAUAUCUAACGUUCCUUGAAGUAGACGACUUGAAGGAAAAUUUUCGUGGAGAAAAGAUGCUUCGUUGGCUCAAAUGGCCAUCAUAUGCUCUUCCAACUAAUAUUUUCCAGAGGAAUUCAAAUCUCCUUCCACGAUUACGAUGGCUUUCUUGGCAUAAUAUUAGCCCAACAUUUAAGAUUGCAAAUUUCUCCGUAGAGAAUUUGAUUAUCCUUGAUCUAUCUCAGAGUGAAAUCACUCGUGAUUGGAAGGGGUGGAGCCACAUGAAGGUAUGUUAUAUGCUAGAGAACAUUUAUUCUUCCGUUUUAUUAGAUUCAAAAGUGAACUUUGCAUGAUUUUUCUUUCACAGGUGAUUAAGAAUUUGAAAGUUCUAAAUCUGGCCAAUUGUCGAUGCUUGAAGAGAACCCCUAACUUCUCAACUCAUUCAAAUUUAGAACGUUUGAUCCUAUCAAAGUGUUACUCAUUAAUCGAAAUUGAUAGAUCGAUUUGUCAGUUGAAACGCUUGGUUUUCUUAGAUGUAAGCGGUUGUUGGGGUCUUCAGAGGCUGCCAAAUGAGCUGGGGGAUCUUGCAAGCCUCAAAUACCUAUCUCUAAGUGGUUGCAGGGGAUUGAAGAGGCUUCCAAAUGAGCUGGGAGAUCUUGCAAGCCUCAAAUACCUAUCUCUAAGUUGUUGCAGGGGAUUGAAGAGGCUUCUGGAGACAAUCAGGAAUUUGGAAUCGCUGAUUGAGUUGAACAUGAGUGGCCUGACAAUCAAAGAACUACCCGAUUCCAUCAAAAAGUUGAAGAAUUUGAAAAUAGUGAAUAUGAAAAAUGUUUACAUAAGCAAAAUACAUGAUACCUUUUGGACAAUAGAGAAGCUUGAAAUAAUAGAACUCAGCUACAUUAAUUAUGAUGACAAGCACGUGGCAAUUGGUGAUUGCAUAUAUGAGAAUAAAUCCUUGAGGAUCUUGAGAUUGUCAAUGGCGGAGAGAAUACACGCCCCACCAAGGCUCCCUGAAAGUCUUUUGGAAUUAGAACUGAAGUGGUUGAGGGAGGGCCCAUUUCCGGAUCUCUCAAAUCUCGCUAACUUAAAGGUAUUGGAUCUGACCUUUGGCCCACCUAAUUCUGAUGGGAAAUAUUAUGGGCUUCUGGAAGAACCGAUACCACCGUGGAUUGGGAACUUAACCAAAUUGGAAUCUCUGAAAAUCUGCUUUCCCUGGAUGUUCGCCUCAUCGAGAAACCUCAGCCUCCCUCCUCAUCCGCGUCGCCUCCCGAGGCUUCCCUCAAAUUUAUCCUCCUUAACUUUCGAUGGUUGCCUGUCACUUUGCUCGAUGGAUCUAUCGAAUUUGAGGAAACUAUCGUCUCUCGACAUUUCGAGGUCUGCAGUUGCAGAGAUUGAAGGCCUUGGUUGUUUGGAGAACCUACGAGAUUUCAGCCUUUGGUCCGUCGUACAGCUGGUGAUGCUACCUGAUCUAAGCAAGUUAAACAAGCUAAGGCUUAUUGCAGUACAGGCGUGCGAUAAUCUGGUUGAGAUUCAAGGCGAAGUACCGCGGUUUUUGGAUCAUCUUAAAAUUGAUUACUGCCGUUCGUUACGGGAGUUCCCCGAUCUGUUCAGCUUAAUGGGUAAGAAAGAUGUUUGUAUGCAUAUUCUCGAUCAGGUGUUUUAUUAUACAGAUGGACAUCGAUUGCUGGUUUGUGGCUUUAAACAGAUGCAGAUCCCUGAUCUAAGCAAUUGUAACGGACUAACAAUUCUUACAGUAGAAUCUUGUCAUAAUCUGGUUGAGAUUCAAGGCGAACUACCCCAAUCUUUGGAAGAAUUGUACAUUAAAUCUUGUGAAUCUUUACAGAAGUUACCUGAUCUGUCAAGCUUGACGGGACUGAGAAAGGUUACAAUAAGACGUUGUGGGAAAUUAGCGGUGGAGGAAAUUUCUCGGCUUUGCUCGGAGAAGUCAAUCGAAUUUGUGGGAGAAGACGAUGAAGAAGACGAAUCUGUGGAAGAAGACGAUGAAGAAGACGAAUCUGAUGAAGAAGACGAUGAAGAAGAUGAAUGAGUGCACGUUGCACUUGGAAGCUUUUUGAUGCGCGACCGCAAAUUGUUCCCUUGUGUUCAAACCUUAAACAAAUUGAGGUAAGUACCAAUGUUUUCCUGUUUUUGGCAAUCAAAUUCUUUCACAUAUAUGAACAGAGAAGUUUUGCAUGCACUUUUUAACGACCUUUUAGCGGAUUCUUGUCUGAAAAUCUGAUGAAGGUAUUUAAAUUAUGAUGCCUCCGAACAGCCAGAGGGCUCUUAAUUAUGUACAAGUUUUUGUGUUCUUUUCCUAGUUUGGUUUGGCUUUUUUAGCUACAUUUUCUUAGGAUGGUUUCUCCUAGAGGUAUGCAUGUCGAUUGCAUCAUUUUUAUUUGAUACGUAACAAAUUAUUAGAGAUCGUUGUUGAUUUGCUGCUUCACACAUAUUUUGAAAUUGAUAACCUCACUUCACAUGGGAGAUAAAUUCACUAUGCUGUAAACAAAUAGAUGGAAUGUGUGUUGGAAGGUUAUACAACUAUGGUUCUCAUCCUGGGACUUUACAGCACAAUCAACUCAUUGUUGCGACUUUGAAGUAGACAGAUACUCUGUAUUGCCAUGCUUAAGUUCAGUUUAUUUUCAGGAAAUGUGUGCUUCUUAGUGGGAUUUGCAAAUGUUAUGGAGAAGUCAUAAAUGAGGGAGCCACUGCAAUUCUGAGACUACCAGUGUGGCAGCACUGGCUAAAGCAAUAGCACCAGAAUAUUUUAUCUCAGCAAUGAUGCCUUCGAUCAUAGCAAUCUUUGACGGGCACACUGACAAAAAUCAUUCUGUGCAGCAAACGUCGCCUAUAGGCGUAACUGAGAGAAUACAGCAUUCGCUGUACCAGUAGAGAAGGAGCGCCCUUUUGCUGAGACUUGAGAAUUGCACUCACUUACAAAAGAUUGGUAAGAAAAAGAGAGCACCUUCCCUUGGGGCUGCCUUCAGUUAAAAAUUGUUCCCCGGAAUAAAAACAUUUUUUUUUUAUUUCUGUCCCUGGAAUAAUUUUUGAAUAGAAACGUUACCAAACGCGCCAUAAAACUCCUACGAUCAUCAUUGAGACUAGGGCAAAGAAUCUGUACAUGAAUAAAGCAUGAGAGCAUUGAAUCCCCAAAAGUAUAUUUAUUAAACUCCCAAAUCUAUAUCGAGAGAUUUUUUGAGGAACGGAGAAAGGCCCUCAUCCCAGUUGAUCAUUAAAAUUAAUACCAUAAAGAAAAGGAUAAAUAAAUUCCUUGCCAAGAGGGCAUUUGGGUAUUUUGACAGCACCAAAAAGACAAAACGCAAUUGAUAGGGGAGAAAGGAGAGGAGGAGAGGGAAAAGGACAAGGGGCCAUGAUUAUGGCGGAUGGAACGUAGGCCUAUCAACUAUUGGUGGUUACAUGACUCACAUGGCAAAUGGAACGUAGACCUGUCAACUGUCGGUGGUCACAUGACUCACAUGAGGGGACUAAUGAUAUCGAGUGCAGUGGAGCGGGAGCCAAUUGAUAGGAAGAAGAUGCUAAAUCAAUCCGGGGUCAUGCGUACCAAUGGAUGAGAUGGAACGUAUGGAGAAUUCACAUGAUCCAUCUGUGCAUGAGUCGAGUUCACAUGCCCUGGUGCUCAAGCGGGCAAGACCUGCUCGAAGAAUAGGGAGGAAGUGAAGAGAGGUGUAAUCCAGUCCAUAUGCCGGAUUUGGUAGGGCAACCCCGAAAUCAUGGAUUUUUAGCCCAUGCGUCCCCAUUGAAAUUGCCAUAUUUUCCCAACUUCCUUUGUAUUUUUGAGGUUUGGAGAGCACGAAAAACAGACGGGGCGUUUUCUUCAAAAUAGACUUGAUACUUUUUCCCCGAUUGGGACACACCCCUGUCCUGAAAGCGACACUACAACUAUGUUCAAGCAAAGCCACGAGUGGGUCCCCGUGCCCUGUCAUUCUUGUUAAUUUGUGGGCAAGGGCGGGGGCAUUUAUGGCGACACGGUGCUCUCGGAUGAUUCAAUGGAAGAAGGAAGACGCAUUGGACACCGUGCGGUUCUAUUUCAGGGUGAAAGCAAACUCUACUAAGACAAUAUCAUUAGAAUACGAACUGCCCCCGGCUCUCAGCAUAGUCAACAAAUCCUGUGUACUACUUUUAAUGACCCAUGGAGAUCUCCAUUUGUAAUUUUGGCUUCUAAAAGUGACUUAUAUUUCACAAUGUGCUGCAUUGAUUUUGCUGUUAUACAGUUAGACUUUUUUUCUCAGAGAGAAGAUCAAGAGAGAUCAAUGAAGAGGAGGCAAUGCUUUAUUUAUUCAGCAUAGAAUUGAUCGUUAUCCAGAUCGUGAAAAGCUUAUGAUAUUGUAAGGGCCAACUCUUUACAAGUGACUUUGGUUGGCUAAAGAAUGGUUGAAAGAAGUUGACUUUGGCUGUUUUGGUUUCUAUCGAGUCAAUAUCGUGAAACUUUAGUUGCGAAGUGGCUCCUUUCUCUCAUGAAACACAAAAUGUUUAGUAGCCUCGGAAUUGAUUUAGAAACUUGAAAAAUACUCGCAAAACAAAUACCAUAUGUUCAAAAGAACUUUUAUCUUUAAAUAAUCUAGCCAAUCGUAUUAUCAAUCAAUAGAAAAGUUGAUAACAUCUAAUUUAAUUGAAUGGAAAGAACAAAAGUGCCGUAUACAUAUAAUUUUGCCUUGCGUCAAAAUACUAUCAUUAGAUUUAAAAUCGCAUUAGCUACAACUCUCAGAAAGAGAAAAAAAGAAGAUAGAACAGCGUAUGGAGUGGUGCAAGAAGACGGAAGUGUCACGGGAUUAGAAGGGCAAAGUCAAAGUCAACGAAGACUUGGACUACCAAGAGUCCAUGAUGAACCAGCUUGCUCUGGAAGGAAUCACACCAAUGAUCCAUUUACUUGGCACUCUGUGCCUCCCAAUCAGACUUCCAUAAAUUUAGAGAUUUUAUUAUAAAAAUAUUUCACUAAGAUCAUUCUGUAAAAUCCUACACUUAUUCAUUAUUCUCUCAUUCAACCCCCAAUAAUCAUAUGACAACAAAUCGAUGUCCAAUUCUCAUAUCCAUUGAUAAUUCCAUCUUACUAUUUCUUUCAAUCGAAUAACAUCAUGUGAAAACAAACUCUUAGGUUGUGUUUAUCUCACUGAGAAUUUUUUUUUGUUGCGGGAAAAUGUUUUAGGAAAUUCAAUCUCAGAAAAAGUAAACACAAAAUUUUGAUUGUGCUGAAAACAAGUUGAAGAAAUUUAUUUUAUCAUAAUUGGUAAUCAGUGAAUUCAUUAAGGGUGGCUUGUAUAGUUAAAAGUAACAUGUGAUGACUAAUAAACUGGAUAUGAUAUCAUCACCGUUUAUUCUAUAAUCCACGAAAAUAACAACGAUUACAAAGAAAUUAGGACAAAAAUCAAGGAAAACAAAUCUUCUUGCUAAGUCAUUUUUCUCUAAGCUUAUUUAUUACUUUUUAGCCCAUGGUAAACGUUUUUAUGGAUCGAGUAGCUUUACAUGAUUCAAACACUGGAAAGUAAGGAAAGAAAUAUUCCAAAAGUGAUUUUUCAUCAAACAAAGAAGGAAGAUCGUGAGGGGCAAUUCCAGUUUUUUUUUUUUUUUUUUGGGGAAAAGUAUUACCCUUCGGCCCAAAAUUGUACGAGUGUUUGCACGCUAACAUUGUUGAUGAAUCCAUACCCAAAAAAGACAUUGAUAGAUGUUAAAUUGGUAUGACGAUAGACCAUAUAAUUGAUGCCAAUAAAGAGAUCCAAAGUGAACAAUCAUAUCCCUUCAUAUUCUUUCUUGUCUCGAAAAGGAGAAGAACAUAAGUGAAAUGCUAAAAAGAAGGUGGACGAAUGUAAGGUCUCAAGCGCAUAGAGAAAGAGGAAAAGGCAAAGCAAGAAUAUAUUCCAUUACACUUUUGUUAAAGUUAGCAUUAUGUUCAUUUCAUGAAAAAUGAAUGAUAAUCAUCGUUUAUAUUUCUUGAAAUAAUUAAUUAAUGAAUUUUUUUUACUAUCAAUAAUAAUUUAUGUCUAUAUAUUUUCAUAGAUAAUGAAAAUAUCUUUAAUUUAUUCAUUUUUAUGAAUGAUAUAAAAUGUUUUCCAAAUCGUUCAUUUUUUAUGAAAUAAAUGGAGAAUAAGUUGAAGCUCGUUUAUUUUGCAUAUUAGUUUCAAAUUAAGGUCGGAGCUCUUUCAGCUAAAAUAGAGAGGAAUCCGUCCCAUUUAUUAUUCAAAAAAACCGCAUCUCCAAAUUAUACCACUUCUUGGACCCUAAAAAUUGUGAGAGACAACUUGUUAUCAAGGAGGUAUAAUUUUUUAAAAACUUAUAACUUUGACAAGUGGUCUAAAGUCACUUUAGACCAUACUAAAAUCGCAUCAUAUCCACAUUGGCUCCAUUUGCCUAUCAAUGUCCAAGCAAGUGGUCACAUUGGAUUUUUAACGGCCGUCUUGAAUGGAACUGUGACGCAUAAUAUUUGCAAGUCACUGAUACAAGUUUAUAUAUAGUAUUAGUAACAAGUAAAAGAAUUGGGUUUCGUUGUCACACCAGGCAAGGUUUAGGCUUUUUGGUGGAAUUCUCCUGAGUCAUGUCUGCUUCAUUUGUCUACUGUUGUCCAGGCAAACAGGCACAUUAAAUCUUUAAUGACCAUCUUGGAUGGAGAGUACUUUUGGAUUUUUGAUACAAGUUUCGAUUUUUUAUGAUAUCAAAAAAAGUUAGAAUAAUUAGUGUCAUAGUUAAUAUAGUUUAGGAUUUUUACGUGUCGCCCACCCAUUGCCAUCACAAGCCCUCACCUUCAUGUGUGAAUCCACCGGCGACCUCAACUCCUCACCAAUUUGACUUGUUUGCUAUCCUUUGGUCUCUUUUUUUCUCCCCAUGGAACUCAACCUAUGUGUAGAAGUCGCGACAGACGGAGGUUGCUGGCCUCGCACGGCUGUGGUUGCAUGUGGCCACGGUAUCGGGGCUCGACUCAAUUAAUUUGCUCGAUUUUUUAAAUUUUAGAACUUUGUAAGAUUUCAAACUACAACCAUCCCAUCAAAUGAAUUGGGUUGGAUAAUGUUUUGAUCUGAUCUAGAGAGACUAAUUGUCCAUAUUUCUAGAAGUGACAUUAGGAAGAAAUUAUUUAUAUUAUAGAGAUUCAAAAAGAUUUGAACUUUUGUCUUUUUUUUUUUAAUUUUAUUUUAAGGGGAAUAAAAACUUUGCACUUACCAAAAAAAAAAAAAUUGCACUGUGCUGUGUCCAAUAUAAAUGCAAUCAUGUUGUUUGUUGAGAUGUAAGACCCUUCGGGAAUUAUUUAAGUUCGUGAGACUCGAGUCAAAUUUUUUUAACAAGAAAACUCUGCAUUGUGCUAUGUCCAUAUUUGUAGAAGUGACAUUUGGAAGGAUACUCCGCUAGCCAUGGUCUGUUUGCUAGUUUAACCUUCCAAUGACAUUCCACCACUUUAAUACUUCAGCUUACACUUGUUUGCAAGCACAGCUGAAGUAUUUUUUUAAAUACAUUGAUUUUUUUUUUUUUUUGGUAAUAUGAAAGCCUUGGGCAAGAAUUCAAACAGUCACCGAAGUGUAGGAUUCGUAAUUUAGUUUUGCUCAUCAAAUAAAAGGAUGUGAUCAAAUAUGAACUCGAAAAGGAGAGUGGAGGGCCAAAUCUCUAGAAUCAACCUUAGAAAGGGACAAUUUUCGUUCCCAAGAUAUGAGAAGAGACAACUUACAUCAAAGCGGAUGUGCUUGGUUGGUCUUGGAGACCAACUUAUGCAUCAUAGCACGUGAAACGUUGUUGCUACUAUUCUUUUUUUUCUUCCUCAAAGCUAGUGUAGUGUGAACAAUGUUUAGGAAAUGCCAGAUGAAAGAUGGAGGCCUUUUCCGAUGUGUAGAGAAUAAUCCUUCAGAACCUUUUAUGAAAUUGCAGUUGAAUAUUAUCUCCUCAGAAGGCAUUCAGAGGGGGGAAAAAUAGUGUGCACCAUACACUAUAGAGUGUGAAUCCCAACACUUGCCCAUUCGCUCCUUGAGAUUUUAAAGUGCCGCUUACUCCCUUAGUAGUACCGAAACGCGACACGACACAUCAAUAUGUCAUUUAUAAAAAAUAAGGAGUUUCGACAUGUUGGGAUACGUUAUAUAUUAAAUAAAUAUUUUUAUUUUUAAUUAAUUUGAUUCAAAUUCAUAAAUAAUUAAUUAAAAGAAGAGCAUACAAUGAAAAUACACUAAUAAUAUUAAUGAAUCAAUUCAUUGGAAAUUAGAAAGAUAUAUUCAUAAUUAAUAUGUAUCCAUAUUUGGAAAUAUAUUUUUAAUUUUAACCAAAAUUAUUGAUGAAAUCGAUAAUUAAUAAGAAAUUAGAAUCAACUUGUUUAAAUAAAUUCAUAAUCUUCAAAUUCAUAAUCUUCUACAAUGAUAAAAAUUUAUUAUCAUUUAAAAUUCAGUACUUUUAUUUUUUAGAAUUAUUUUUUAAUCUUAUUUAUUUAUUCGAUUAAAAAAAAUCUCCUUGAGGGGUCCAUCGCCAACCCCCACUCCUUUCUUUCUUUCGUAUAUUUCCCCCCGGCCCCAAAUUUAUUUCAAUUUUUUUUCCCACUCUUCCCCACGUCAGACCAUUUCCCCCCCCCCACCCCCAAAUUUAUUUAACUCUUUUUCCCAUCCCCCACCCACGUGACAGGCUGUCACUUCACCCCCCAUCCANNNNNNNNNNNNNNNNNNNNNNNNNNNNNNNNNNNNNNNNNNNNNNNNNNNNNNNNNNNNNNNNNNNNNNNNNNNNNNNNNNNNNNNNNNNNNNNNNNNNUGACAGGCUGUCACUUCACCCCCCAUCAGCCUCUCUUUUUUAUCCUUUUUGAGUUACCAAAACCCAAGCAAGCGCGUCCUUCUCCUCCUCCUCUCGCCGCUCGCCGCACCCGCACGACCCCCUUCCUCUCCUUUUCCUCUCGAUACUUCUCCUCCUCCUCGCCGCACGACCCCCUUCCUCUCCUCUUCCUCUCUAUCCUUCUCCUCCUCCGCCUCGUCGCCGAUCCGUCGCAGCGUCAGUGACCGCCCUCGCCUCAGUCUCUACUCUUUGUCUGGCGGUUUCUCGCCGUCGCGGGCUCGCCGUUGCUCGUUACUCCAUCCUGAUCUUUAAGUGCCGCCUCUCAUCUCUGCUAUUCCACCAUUCCCCUGUAUUUCUAUCUGAAAACCUUCUCUUUGCUAACUCACAAAAAGCUUGAGCACUUGCUGUUGCCUGUAUUGUGACAGUUGCUGCCAUAGCUCUCUCUGCCAUCCUGUUCAAAGGAUUCCUGAAGAAAAGAGCUGGUCAGACCGCUGUGGAGGGCAGUGCAGAUAAUAAUUCAGCUACACAGAAUGGUACCGUAGAGAGGGCUGCUCGUACUUGCACUACACCACAAGUUGAGGAAAUGGCAACAUCUUCCGGAUAUGACUAUGAAGUAUUCUUGAGUUUCAGAGGGCUUGACACACGAUCAGCUUUUACCGACUUCCUUUAUACUUAUCUUAUAGAUGCAGGAAUCCGCACAUUUAGGGACGAUGACGCGCUCCGUGUCGGCGAAGAGUUUGCCCCAGAACUUCUUGAAGCAAUCAAUCAGUCGAAGAUCUUAAUACCUAUCUUUUCAAAAGGUUAUGCCUCUAGCGUAUGGUGUCUCAGAGAGCUAGUUCAAAUGGUCAAGUGCCAGAAAAAUGAAGGACAAAAGAUCAUGCCCAUUUUUUAUGAUGUGACACCUUCGGAGGUUCGACACCAAACCGGGAGUUUUGAAAAUGCUUUUGUUUCACACAAAAGAAAGAAGCGAUAUGAUGAAAAGACUAUAGCAGAGUGGAAGGAUGCUCUCACUACAGUCGCGGAUAUAAAUGGAUGGGACCUGCAAAGCAUGCCCAACAGGUGACUACUUUUAGCAUUCCAUCUCAUGUGCCUUGUAUCGUUAAACUCGAUGCAUUUAAAUUGGUUUCUUUUCUAAAUUUGUGUUAGUCUUGUUGAAAUUGAAUUGUAUGCAAUUGAAAUUAUGCAGCAAAAUCAGGCUAAAUAAUAUCACAAUGUCAAUUUUUGUCCCAUUUCAUUCCCAGCAAGCAACAUUUUUCGUUAGUUCAGAUCAUUCAUUUACCCUAAGUUCCAGUGCUAGUUUAUCAAAAUGGUAUAAAUCGUUGAGGAACGCAUUUAUAAUAGGUCUGUAGUUUUCAAUUUGGUUUUGUCAGAGCAUAGUUUGGCUUAACUCAAUUUUCUAACUCAUUCCCUUUUGACUUUCAACAAACAAUAGGCGAGAAGGUCAGUUUGCAAAAGAAAUCACGCAGAAGGUUUUCAAUGAGUUGAAAAGGGCUUAUUUGGUAGUAUCAAAUUACUUGGUCAAUGUCGACAACCAUGUGGAUGCAAUCAUGGAAUUGAUAGGUCCUCAUACAAGUGGAACACGGAUUAUAGGAAUCUAUGGGAUGGGCGGCAUCGGGAAGACGACAAUUGCCAAAAUCAUCUAUAAUCAGCUUAUAGAAAAAUUUGAGUGCUAUUGCUUUCUGUCUGACAUCCGUGAAACGUCAGAACAACGCGGGGGCAUUGAAUCCUUGCAAAAUCAGCUCAUCUCCAGCAUUCUCAAAAAGAAAUGCACAGAUAUAAGAAACAUUGAUGAUGGGAUUAAUACCAUCAAAGACAGAUUGUCUAAUAAAAGAGUCCUCCUCCUUCUCGAUGAUGUGCAUAAAAAGAAGCAUAUGGAUGCACUUGCAGGUGAGUGUGAUUGGUUUGGUAAAGGGAGCCUACUUAUUAUUACUACUAGAAAAAAAGAAGUUCUUGAUGUUCUUAAAGUGGACGGCUGUUAUGAGCUUUCGGGCAUGGAUCACGAUCAAUCUCUUCAACUCUUUAGCAAACAUGCCUUUAGAAGAGAUCAUCCUUUGGACGAGUAUAUCGACCAAUCCGAGAGGGCGAUAAAAAUUGCUGGAGGUCUUCCACUAGCUCUUGAGGUCAUGGGUUCACGUUUAUCUUGCACUACUGAAAAGAAAAAGUGGGAUUUCGAAUUACGUAAGUGGGAAAGUGAUCCUCAUAAGGAUGUCCAGAGUAGAUUGAAAAUAAGUUAUGAUGAAUUAGAAGAAAAGGAAAAGCAAAAGUUCCUUGAUAUAGCUUGUCUCUUAAUUGGAUAUGAUAAAGACAUUGUAGUUCAUUUUUGGGAAUCUGAAUUCCAUCCGGAAUAUGCCAUGGAUGUUUUGGAGAACAUGUCUUUGGUAAAGAUUAAAGAGGAUAAUAAAGUGUGGAUGCACGACCAACUUAGAGACCUUGGAAGACAAAUAGUUUGUCAAGAAACCAAUAUAAAUAAACAAAGUAGGGUGUGGGAUCGUGAGAAAGCGUUGGAUUUGCUGAAGAGCCCUAAGGUAAAAUCCCCUGUGCAUUAAUUUCCAAGUUACUUAUGGACAUUUUUGCUUUUUUAAGAUUAAUGGACGGUAGUACUCAACUCAGUCCCUUAAAAUAGUGAAUUUGGCUAAAUGUGUUUCCCUUCAACUCUCUUGUUUUUAAAAAUUUUCCUUUGGGCAGAUGAAGAAAAAAGUUGAAGCUCUUCGCCUCCGCUUGGACCAUCAGCACCGUUUUACCUACAAGGACUUUAAGAGCCUAUCAAGGCUAAGGUUCCUUAAAGUUGAUGACUUGGAGCAAACUUUUUGUGUAGAAAAGAUGCUUCUUCAGCACAAAGGGCCAUCAAGUGUUCUUCCAAUUGAUGUUUUGGAUUCAAAUCUCCUUCCAGAAUUACGCUGGCUUUCUUGGCAUAAUAUUCACCCAACAUUUGAGAUUGCAAAUUUCUCCGUAGAGAAUUUGACUAUCCUAGAUCUAUCUCGGAGUGAAAUUACUCAUGAUUGGAAGGGGUGGAGCCACAUGAAGGUAUGUCAUAUGCUAGACGAUACUUGUUCUUCCAUCUCAUUAAAUUUGAAAGUAAUCUGUGCAUGAUUUUUCUUUCACAGGGGAUUAAGAAUUUGAAAGUUCUGAAUCUGGCCCAUUGCCAAUGCUUGGAGAGAACCCCCAACUUCUCAGCUCAUUCAAAUUUGGAAUAUUUGAUCCUAUCAUGGUGUAAAUCAUUAAUCGAAAUUGAUAGAUCGAUUUCCCAGUUGAAACACUUGGUUUUCUUAGAUGUAAGCAAUUGUGGGAGUCUUCAGAGGCUGCCGGAUGAGUUGGGUAGAGAUCUGGUUUUCUUAGAUGUAAGCUAUUGUGAGAGUCUUCAGAGGCUGCCGGAUGAGUUGGGUAGAGAUCUUGCAAGCCUCAAAUACCUAUCUCUAAGGGGAUGCUCGAGUUUGAAGAGGCUUCCGGAGACAAUUGGGAAUUUGGAAUCGCUGAUUGAGUUGAACAUAGGUGGCCUUACAACGAAAAUCAAAGAACUACCCGAUUCCAUCAAAAAGUUGAAGAAUUUGAAAAUAGUGAAUAUGCAGUAUGGUGACAUAGGCAAAAUACACAAUACCUUUUGGACGAUGGAGAAGCUUGAAAAAAUAAAUAUCAUCCACGAGGCUUAUCAUUACGGGGGUUUACACGUGGAAAUUGGUGAUGGCAUCUAUGAGAAUAAAUCCUUGAGGAUCUUGAGAUUGGAAGGGGUGAGAAUACACGCCCUACCAAGGCUUCCCGAAAGUCUCAUCGAAUUACAAGUGGAGGAGUUGAGGGUGGUUCCAGAUCUCUCAAAUCUCGCUAACUUAAAGGUAUUGAAACUGGGCUUUGGCCCACCUGAUCCUGAUGGGAAAUUUUAUGGGUUUCUGGAAGAACUGACACCACGGGGGAUUGGGAACUUAACCAAAUUGAAGCCUCUGACACUCUGGUAUUCCAGGGGGAGCGCCUCAUCGACAGACCUGAGCCUCCCUCCUCAUCCGCGUCGCCUCACGGGGCUUCCCUCAAAUUUAUCCUCCUUAGAACUCCGUGAUUGCGACUCACUUUGCUCGAUGGAUCUAUCGAAUUUGAGGAAACUAUCGUCUCUCUUGAUUUGGGACUGUGCAGUUGCAGAGAUUGAAGGCCUUGGUUGUUUGGAGAACCUACGAGAUUUGAACCUUCAGGGCGACGGACAGCUGGCGAUGCUACCUGAUCUAAGCAAGUUAAACAAGCUGAGGGAAAUUAAAGUACGCAAUUGUGGUAAUCUGGUUGAGAUUCAAGGCGAACUACCGCGGUUUUUGGUUGAUAUUUUAAUUUAUCGCUGCGAUUCGUUACGGGAGUGCCCCGAUCUGUUCAGCUUACCCGAUCUGUUCAGCUUAAUGGGUAAGAAAGAUGUUUGUAUGCAUAUUCUCGAUCAGGUGUUUUAUUAUACAGAUGGACAUCGAUUGCUGGUUCGUGGCUUUAAACAGAUGCAGAUCCCUGAUCUAAGCAAUUGUAACGGACUAACAAUUCUUACAGUAGAAUCUUGUCAUAAUCUGGUUGAGAUUCAAGGCAAACUACCCCAAUCUUUGGAAGAAUUGUACAUUAAAUCUUGUGAAUCUUUACAGAAGUUACCUGAUCUGUCAAGCUUGACGGGACUGAGAAAGGUUACAAUAAGACGUUGUGGGAAAUUAGCGGUGGAGGAAAUUUCUCGGCUUUGCUCGGAGAAGUCAAUCAAAUUUCUGGGAGAAGACGAUGAAGAAGAUGAAUAAGUGCACGUUGCACUUGGAAGCUUUUUGAUGCGCGACCACAAAUUGUUCCCUUGUGUUCAAACCUUAAACGAAUUGAGGUAAGUACCAAUGUUUUCCUUUUUUUGGCAAUCAAAUUCUUUCACAUAUAUGAACAGAGAAGUUUUGCAUGCACUUUUUAACGACCUUUUAGCGGAUUCUUGUCUGAAAAUCUGAUGAAGGUAUUUAAAUUAUGAUGCCUCUGAACAGCCAGAGGGCUCUUAAUUAUGUACGAGUAUUUGUGUUCUUUUCCUAGUUUGGUUUGGCUUUUUUAGCUACAUUUUCUUAGGAUGGUUUCUCCUAGAGGUAUGCAUGUUGAUUGCAUCAUUUUUAUUUGAUAUGUAACAAAUUAUUAGAGAUCGUUGUUGAUUUGCUGCUUCACACAUAUUUUGAAAUUGAUAACCUCACUUCGCAUGGGAGAUAAAUUCGCUAUGCUGUAAACAAAUAGAUGGAAUGUGUGUUGGAAGGUCACACAACUAUGGUUCUCAUCCUGGGACUUUACAACACAAUCAACUCACUGUUGCGACUUUGACGUAGACAGACACUCUGUAUUGCCAUGCUUAAGUUCAGUUUAUUUUGCAGGAAAGGUGUGCUUCUUAGUGGGAUUUGCAAAUGUUAUGGAGAAGUCAUAAAUGAGGGAGCCACCGCAAUUCUGAGAUUACUGGUGUGGUAGCACUGGCUAAAGCAGCAGCACCAUAAUAUUUAUCUCAGCAAUGAUGCCUUCAAUCAUAGCAAUCUUUGACGGGCACACUGACAAAAAUCAUUCUGUGCAGCAAACAUCGCCUACAGGAGUAAUUGAGAGAAUGCAGCAUUCGCUGUACCAGUAAAGAAGGAGCACCCUUUUGCUGAGACUUGAGAAUUGCACUCACUUACAAAAGAUUGGUAAGAAAAAGAGAACACCUUCCCUUGGGGCUGCCUUCAGUAUUAGAACUGUGCAUUCUGAAGCAAUAUUGGCAUUGUUUUUGUCAUGAGAUCCACUCAAUUCUAGUAAAACACUGGCACUGCCACCAAAGUUGGUAAUGCGUCAUAUGCUGCUCGCCACCUCAGAAGAACUUUCAUCAAGUAGUGGUGGCUCUUCCAUGUACUUGAAAACUUUCGUAGAACCUGGUGAUCAUAAAAGAAGAGCUUUGCACAAGCCAAGCAUCAAUUUGAGAAAAUCUUCCAAAUUCUUCCCAUGUACAAACUCCAAAAGAUUUCCAAUCCACCGUGUUACUUUUAGCUGAGAAAGCAACUUGGGAUCCAUAUCCUGAGCCAAUGCCAGAGCCACGCGCAGCUCAACAUCAUUCACAUUUGCACAGGACAGAUCACCAAGUGAAAAUCUGAAGCAGUGGCUGACUGUCUUUAGGUGUGGAAUCUCAGAAAUUUUAGUCAAGUUGAACUUUAUGAGCAUCAGGGACAGCUUCUGCGCAAACAUUGGUAUUGUGGUCCUCAUCCUCAAUCAAGGUUGGGUAAAGAGGGAGAAAUUGCACCAAGGACAUGGAUUUCAAGUUUGCCAGCUUAAGCUCUAACUCUGGAGUUUUGAUUAGGAAAAUGAACGUCGCAUCAAACGGAAUCUUGAGGCACAGAAGUCUGGCAUCACCAUCUUUGUUGCCCUUAUACAGAACAUCCAGACUCAGCAAAAUCCCACAGAUGAAUACGUUAGAGCUUUCAGCUCUGUGAUAGACUCAACGCCAGCAUUUUGAGCCGGCAAUGCAGGUUCUAGGAGCGGAUCAGUGUUGUGCUCUUGUUUUCUUUUUCAAUCUUGAACUGCUUUUGGAUCGUGUUUGUAAUUAGUGUGCUGAAUUAUGCUUCGUGUGAGUGUGAACCAUCUAAGUUUUGCCUGUCCAGUGUUUGGUGAUCAUGUGCAAUUUUGGUGUUUGACGAAAUGAGUUAUGUGCUUGAGUCUGCGUGUGCUAGAAUGUCACCUUCAAGAAGCACCUGAAGCUGAAGCUGAAGCGCAAGGUCUAUUGUGACGGUUUCCUCUCAC